CCUACGGGUGGUAGCAGUGAGGAAUAUUGGUCAAUGGGCGGAAGCCUGAACCAGCCAAGUCGCGUGAGGGAAUAAGGCCCUACGGGUCGUAAACCUCUUUUGCCGGGGAGCAAGGGCGGGGACGUGUCCCGGCCCGGAGAGUACCCGGAGAAAAAGCAUCGGCUAACUCCGUGCCAGCAGCCUCGGUAAUACGGAGGGUGCGAGCGUUAUCCGGAUUUAUGGGGUUUAAAGGGUGCGUAGGCGGUCUUUUUAGUCAUCGGGAAAAAUUGGGGUCGCAAACCCGUCCGGCCGUUGAAACUGGGGGCCUUGAGUGGGCGAGAAGAAGGGGGAAUGCGUGGUGUAGCGGUGAAAUGCAUAGAUAUCACGCAGAACCCCGAUUGCGAAGGCAGCCUUCCGGCGCCCUACUGACGCUGAGGCACGAAAGUGCGGGGAGCGAACAGGAUUAGAUACCCGGGUAGUC
rnacentral:rRNA from 1 species